AAGGAAAAUAGAGGAGUAAAUUGAGAAAGUUAAUUGAAAUUAUUUAUGUUGAGAAAAAAAGUGAUUAAUAGUUGGCAUGAUUUCGGGUGGCCGUGUGCGUAGGAACCGCCGGAGGCUGUGCUCCGAAUACUUCUCUCCUUCCUCUUCGUUCUCCAACACUCCCAUUUUACGGUGUGCUUUGUUCACUCUGACGUCAGGAUUGAUCAUAAUGUUUCUGGUGAGUUGAAACACGCACAUACUUGUCACAAAUCCCAU
rnacentral:misc_RNA from 1 species